rnacentral:tRNA from 1 species
CCCCUGACAGUCCAGUGGUUAGGACUUGGCUCUUUCACUGCUGUGGCCCAGAUUCAAUCCCUGGCCAGGGAA